UAAAUCGUUUAACGAGUAUCAAUUGGAGGGCAAGUCUGGUGCCAGCAGCCGCGGUAAUUCCAGCUCCAAUAGCGUAUAUUAAAGUUGCUGCAGUUAAAAAGCUCGUAGUUGGAUCUGGGGCUUGAGGUCGCUGUCUAUCGUUUCGGCGAUGACGGUGAUGCUCAGCUCUGCUUGCCGGUGACUGUUGCGGUGUUCUUCACUGAGCGCUGUAGCAGCACGGCACGUUUACUUUGAAAAAAUUAGAGUGCUCAAAGCGUGCUUGUCGCUUGAAUAAUGUUGCAUGGAAUAAUGGAAUAGGACCUCGGUUCUAUUUUGUUGGUUUUCGGAGCUUGAGGUAAUGAUUAAGAGGGACGAACGGGGGCAUUCGUAUUGCGGUGUUAGAGGUGAAAUUCUUGGAUCGCCGCAAGACGGACUACUGCGAAAGCAUUUGCCAAGAACGCUUUCAUUAAUUAAGAACGAAAGUCAGAGGUUCGAAGACGAUCAGACACCGUCCUAGUUCUGACCAUAAACGAUGCCGACCAGCGAUCCGUAGUGGUUGCUUUAUGGACCCUACGGGCAGCCUCCGGGAAACCAAAGUAUUUGGGUUCCGGGGGAAGUAUGGUUGCAAAGCUGAAACUUAAAGGAAUUGACGGAAGGGCACACCAGGAGUGGAGCCUGCGGCUUAAUUUGACCCAACACGGGAAAACUCGCCCGGUCCGGACACCGUAAGGAUUGACAGACUGAUAGCUCUUUCUUGAUUCGGUGGAUGGUGGUGCAUGGCCGUUCUUAGUUGGUGGAGUGAUUUGUCUUGUUAAUUCCGAUAACGAACGAGACUCUAGCCUGCUAAGUAGUGUUGCUAUUGUUAUAUGGUUGACACUUCUUAGAGGGACAAGUGGCAUUUAGCCACGCGAAAUUGAGCAAUAACAGGUCUGUGAUGCCCUUAGAUGUCCGGGGCCGCACGCGCGCUACACUGGAGAAGUCAGCGUGUGUUAUCCAAGUCCGAAAGGACUGGGUAAUCCGUUGAACCUUCUUCGUGCUUGGGACUGUGGCUUGGAACUAUUCCACAUGAACGAGGAAUUCCUAGUAAUUGCAAGUCAUAAGCUUGCGUUGAUUACGUCCCUGCCCUUUGUACACACCGCCCGUCGCUACUACCGAUUGAAUGGUUUAGCAAGGUCCUCGGAUCGUGGCCGUAGGGGCACGCAAGUGUUUCUGCGGUUUGCGAGAAGACGACCAAACUUGAUCAUUUAGA
rnacentral:rRNA from 1 species